UACGUAGGGGGGCAAGCGUUGUCCGGAAUCAUUGGGCGUAAAGAGCGUGUAGGCGGCCUGGUAAGUCCGCUGUGAAAAUCCAGGGCUCAACCCUGGAAUGCCGGUGGAAACUGUCAGGCUCGAGUCCGGAAGAGGCGAGUGGAAUCCUGGUGUAGCGGUGAAAUGCGCAGAUAUCAGGAGGAACACCAAUGGCGAAGGCAGCUCGCUGGGACGGUACUGACGCUGAGACGCGAAAGCGUGGGGAGCGA
rnacentral:rRNA from 1 species